ensembl:lncRNA
UGUGUGCGUUCGUGUGUGUGUGUGUGUGCGCUGCGUGGUGACGUAGGCGCGUGCAUGUGUGCCCCGGUCACAGCUCCUUUCAGCAUGGCCGGAGGAGAGGUGUACUGGCAGUCGCGUGACACACAGAACAGACACAUAUUUCUGUGUUGCAGAUGUGCAGUAAAGAGCCAAAGACCCAGUACUGUCUCCUGCCUCUUACUUUCACGCCAGAACACAACGCAUUGACGGGCGUAACACAUGAAUGGGUUACAUAUGUGACAAUAAAGUUUGCUUGUUGCUGUUCAGUUUGAAUUCUUGUUUAUCCUUAGCCUCUCCUUUUGUUUAAUAUAUAGAUUUGAUUGUGAUGUAUUCUGUAGUAUCAGUUCUUAUUAUACUUUGUUACUAGUUACCAGUUGUGUUUAUAGAGUUUAAUUAGCAUUAACAGAGCUCCCCCCAUCUCAUCCUUCUGUCUUCCCCUCUGCUAAGUUCACUUAUGUCCUGUCUGUCUCUUUUUCAGUGCGGUUGUUAUUCAUUCCCCGAUUUACAUGGGUAGACAUUUGUUUCCUGUCUUUUGCAUUUAAUUUUACUUCUCCUUCUAUCCCAUUGUUGUUGUCUCCAUGAUUACUGUUUUUUGUAUGAAUAAUGACGUCUUUCCCUCAGUCCUUGCCUUAGUAUCCUGUUUAUUUUCCUGUCUCGUCCUCUUUGCGUUCUUCAGGCUCUUUUGGGUAAUUUCCAUCUGUUCAUACAGUUUGUUAUUUUGCUUUUAGUAACUUGGCAACAGUCAAAAGCCUCUACAUUUUCCACACAGUCUUUAAUCCCUGCAUAUAGUGACAAAUCGAGAUAUUCCUCAGAGGUGUAUUUGUAAGCAUAUAUCAUGUACUUCAUUAUUUUUGCACCACUACUAGC